rnacentral:lncRNA from 1 species
AGUGACUAAGUCUCAUGAGAGCUGAUGGUUUUAUAAGGGAAACCCCUUUUCACUUGGCUCUCAUUAUUUUCUUGUCUGAGGCCUCCCCAGCCACAUGGAACUGUGAGUCCAUUAAACCUGAUUUUCUUCAUAAAUUCCCAUCUUGGAUAUGUCUUUAUCAGCAACAUGAGAACAGAUGAAUAAAAAUUCUCAGACUGGGAGAAAAAUAUGCUAAAGUGCUUCAUUCCCAGAAUAAUAUUCUUGUUAUUUUGUCAUAUGGGCAGCCUACCUGCUUACCUCCUGUCCACACAUCCUAAUAUGAUGCCAACCAGUUAGUAUGUCCUCACUUACUUGCUGACAUGGAUUCUUUGCUUGGCCAAAUUUUAGUCACGUCUUCUGAACAUUCUUCUAGGCCCAUCUGUGCACUUCCUUGUAAAAUACUGUUUUAACUAAGUCAGUUUAGCAACAAUCCCCAAUCUCAGUGUCUGAUCACCCUUGGUAGCUGAUCAUAUUACUUAUCCUCCCUUAUCCCCCAGGUGAUUUCUGAUCUUUCUGGUCUGUUUUUAGCAAGAUCCUGUUAGGUUGGUUUAGCCAGAAUUCCCCUUACCCCUGAUGUUUCUGCUUAGUAAUUUUCCAUCCUCUGACUACCUCAUCUGCUUCUUGGCUACAGAUUCUCACUUGCCCCUGCUGUAUUCGGAGUUGAGUUCAAUCUCCCUAGCCUAUUGUUAAGACUUAGUUGUAGUCAUUCCUGUAGCUACUGCAAUGAUCCUAAAUGAAGUCUUUUUUACUGUGCUUUAACAAGUAUCAUUGAAUAUUUUUUUUCUUUAACAUUACACAAAAAGGAAAACAGCCUGUUCAUUUCAUGGAAGGACGUUUUGGAAAAAUAGAUCCAGACCUACAUAGAAAGGUAUGACAGCUACCUUAAUUCAUCCAUCAAGACCUUUCUUCUUAAUUGUGAAUUACCAACUAUAGAUCAUCAGAGAAUUUAAGAAAAUCGACAAACUAAAUGCAAAGAAACAAGCUAAUGAAAUAGAACAAAUGACUAAAGGAAACAGAAGUAAUUCAAUGAACAUAAGAAAACUUAAAAAAUAUUCUAAUUACAUUCUCAGAAAGAUUUGAGUGCACACUACAUACAUUAGAAGAGAAAAAUAAAGGAAAAUCAGACUGCUAUGAAAACCAAGUUUCCCACUUCAUGCUAAAAAGUGGUAACAUUGCAUGUCAGACUGAAGAAAGACACCUGAGUCUAUGUUGAGUUGUGUUUGGCCCCUUGCAAGGUUGUCAUAAAUGAUUCAUUGUUUUGGCUUAAGGGGCUUUCAGCUGGAUGACAAAGCAUAAGGACAAAAAAUAUGAAAUUUGUCAUUAAAUGUCUUCAUCAUUUAGCCUGUUUAAUUGUGCUAAGAUCUUUUAAGAAACAAUGAAUACAGAGAUUUCCAGAUUAUACUUCCAUGAAAGCCUAAAUCUUCUCAGGUAUUCACAGUUUAAAAAAAUUGAAGUAUACCAAAUGAUAUCCAAGUUUACUGUGAAAGCAAAUGGCCCAUAAAAUUUUGCAUUUACAUUUGAAUUUUAAUCUAGAGAGAAGGAGACCACAUAAGUAAAACACAAUCUAUCUCAUAGGCUGAAGCGUCAGGUAUUACAAAUGUAUGUGGUUAGCUUCUCUUUAUUUAGUUCUCAUUGAUUUAGGUACUAAUUCUACCCAUUCUUUGCUUUAAUCAUUUAGUAUUAAGAAAUAUUGACUUUCAUCAGAGCUUAAUAUACAACUGGCUCCAAAUCUAGAAAAUCAAUUUAAAUUCUUUAUAGUAGUAUGUAAUUGGUUAAUUCAGUCAUUUUUAAAACAAUAUAUUUGUUUAAAAAUAUUUAUUUUGCUAACCAGCUACCAGACAUUGUUCUAGGUAAUUCUUACAGAAGUGCGUAAGACAGAUAGUGUGGCUUCCCACAUAGGGCAUAUAGAUUACAAAGAGAAGACAUAGCUAAAGAAUUAAACCAAUAAUAAAAACAUCAAAUUCUCUGAAAAAAAGAGCUGCUGCCAGUAUCAGUGAAUACUUCUUUCAUGUAACACAAACUGACACUUAAAGAAAAAAAAAAAAACACUCAGCCAUGCAAAGAUGUAAGUAAAGAGAAUUCUGGGUGGAAAGAAUAGGAUAAGUGAAAUAUUUCAAGCAUGGAAGAUCUAGGAAUCUUUCAGGAACUGAAAGGAGGCCAGUAUGAUUGGAAUAGAGAAAAUAGGUAGGCCAGGAGGUCAGAUGAUGUAGGCAUUGAAGGACAAGAUAGGAGUUUGCAUGCUGGUCAACAAUUUUAAAUCAGAGGGAGGGAGAGGGAGAGGAAAAGGGAGAGAGGCAGAGAGUGAGAGAGAGGUAGAGAGAAAGAGAGAGAGGGAGUGAGAAAGAGAGAUCAAAUUUACUUAUUUUGCCAAUAGAACUGUUGUGUGAAAAAUGAACUGAAAGGAAGUAAGGGGAGAAAAACAGCAAAGAGCACAUUUAGGAAGUGAAGAUAAUGAGAGUCCACUCAAUGAUAAAGGUUUGGACUUGGACAGUUUAGUAGAGAAGUACACAAGAACGGUUGUGAAAUAUAUCUUAGAAGUAUAAUUUGUGGAGUUUUGCUGAUUGAUUAAAUAUGAGGCAUGAGAAGAAGGAGAGAAAGGAAUGAAAUAUGUCUACCAGGAAUAUGGGUUGAACCAUUGAGUAGAUGGUGGUGCAGGUGCAAUUUACUGAAGAUCUGGGAUGAACAGGUUUUGGAGUGAAGAUCCAAGUCCACUUUUUUAUGUAUUAAAUUUAAGAUACAUUUUAGACAUUAGGAGACAUUUGUGGCCACUAUGACAUAUAAGGCUUUAGCUUAUUUGAGAGGUUCAGACUGGAAAUAUCUAUUUGAGUAGUUAGUAUUUUAUGUGCAAGCCAUAUAAUUGAAUGAUAUUACAUAGAGAAAAAGUGUAGAGUGAGAAAAGGAGAGGA